GCAAGUCGAGCGGUAACAUGAAGAAAGCUUGCUUUCUUUGCUGACGAGCGGCGGACGGGUGAGUAACGCGUAGGAAUCUGCCUAGUAGUGGGGGACAACAUGUGGAAACGAAUGCUAAUACCGCAUACGCCCUACGGGGGAAAGGAGGGGAUCUUCGGACCUCUCGCUAUUAGAUGAGCCGGCGUAAGAUUAGCUAGUAGGUGGGGUAAAGGCUCACCAAGGCGACGAUCUUUAGCUGGUCUGAGAGGAUGAUC
rnacentral:rRNA from 1 species